AUUGAACGCUAGCGGGAUGCCUUACACAUGCAAGUCGAACGGAGUGGCGAACGGGUGAGUAAUGUAUCGGAACGUGCCCAGUAGCGGGGGAUAACUACGCGAAAGCGUAGCUAAUACCGCAUACUAUUGGAGCGGCCGAUAUCGGAUUAGCUAGUUGGUGUGGUAACGGCACACCAAGGCGACGAUCCGUAGCUGGUUUGCGAGGACGACCAGCCACACGGUGACUGAGACACGGCCCAGACUCCUACGGGAGGCAGCAGUGGGGAAUUUGGGACAAUGGGGGAAACCCUGAGCCAGCCAUCCCGCGUGUGCGAUGAAGGCCUUCGGGUUGUAAAGCAAUGUUGGCAGGAAAGCGGUACCUGCAGAAUAAGCACCGGCUAAAGACGUGCCAGCAGCCGCGGUAAUAC
rnacentral:rRNA from 1 species